AUUUCUCAAUCAAUAAAAACUAGUUUUAUUUAAUUUUGAUAUAAACAUAAUUGUUAAUUGGUAAAAUGAAUUUUGUUAAUCAAAAUUAUUGUAUUGGAUAAAAUUUGAGUAUAUGUUGAAUAAUGAGAUGGAAGAAAGAGGAGAUGCUGUGAAAUGUUCAAAGUUAAAAAAGGCGUUGAAUCCUCUUCGAAUUCGCCCUAGUUCCACUUUCCUCUCUUGCCCGAAUGUCGAGGUGCCUACAAUGUUAACGAUUAUCGAUGCCGGCAGCGUUUUAGCUCGCCGGCUAACCGACGCUCCUCUCCGCUCCUGACUCACAUCUACCUCUUCAUGUUUUCUGGUUCGUUGUCCAUUCCUACUCUGGUUCAAGUUUCUUCUCCGCUGAAAUACUUGGCCUCAAGCUUGAAGCCUUUCACUUGCGCUGUCGUUCGCCUGUCUUGGACCUCCAUAAUCCGGCUUCGAUCUGCACAUCUGCUCGCCAGUUCCUCUACCGUGGCUCCUCACCUUCUUUUCUCUCUCAUCUACGGAUUUUCUCUCCGCCGGAACAAUCAGAUCCAUAACAAGGAGCCGUUCUGUCGUCGCGUCUUAACAAGUCUCCACUGGCUUGAGACCCAGUGCCGACACAUCUCAUGUUGCUCACCUACUGUACGGAAUCGAGAUUCGACACAUCUACACGGCCUGUAUGUGAGCAUACCAGAGCUGUUAGACUCUCCUCCGCAGUUUCCCCUCCAUCUCCUCUAUAUUGUCGCUCUCGUCUUUUGAUUCGAGCCACUCCCAGAUGAAGAGUCGUCACUCCGAUUUAUCAAAAUUUAUAUUCAUCUGAAUAGAGCCCACCACCAAAACUUCUCCUUUAUUCUGUCUCCUUUACCAUAUAAAGAAACUUCUAUAGUGAGACUGCGCGAGAAACCACCACCGUUUGCUUUGAUGUCGUGACGUUCUUCAUUCUCCCGAUGGAGAUCGCUUCCACUAUCUCAGGCAAACAUGUAGUGUCCGGUCCGCAACUUCUCUCGUCUCUUGUCCAAUCCCUCAUCCUCAGUCCUGUCCCAGCCAUUUCUAUUCCGGCAGCCUUUAUAUCUCACUGCAACAUCACCUAAACUCAGCAUCUCUGGACUCUAUCAGCUGUUAUUAUCUAGAGGCUGUACCGUCGACGACUUUGUGUGUAGUCCUACUCCGGCAGCCUCUCUGCACCUCACUGCAACGUCGAAAAACCAGACAUCUUCAAAGACUGUUUUUAACUGCUCUUACAAUCCAUUGGUUGGGUUUUUCAAUGUUGAUUUCGACAUCUGUGUGUUCUUUCGAACGUGUAUUAUAGGACUACAAGUGAAGAUCUUCGACAGAUUUAUUCUCUCCUUAGCCAUAUCUAUCAUUUGUCAUGUUUUAGUUAUUCUCGCUAUUCAGUUUACCGUCGAGUUGUUCUCA